rnacentral:rRNA from 1 species
GCAGUUAGGAAUCUUCCGCAAUGGGCGCAAGCCUGAAGGAGCGACGCCGCUUGGAGGAGGAAGUCCUUCGGGGUGUAAACUCCUGAACCCGGGACGAAAUCCUUGAUGAGGGGGCUGACGGUACCGGGGUAAUAGCGCCGGCCAACUCCGUGCCAGCAGCCGCGGUAAUACGGAGGGCGCGAGCGUUACCCGGAUUUACUGGGCGUAAAGGGCGUGUUGGCGGCUUGGGGCGUCCCAUGUGAAAGGCCACGGCUCAACCGUGGAGGAGCGUGGGAUACGCUCAGGCUAGACGGUGGGAGAGGGUGGUGGAAUUCCCGGAGUAGCGGUGAAAUGCGCAGAUACCGGGAGGAACGCCGAUGGCGAAGGCAGCCACCUGGCUCACUUGUGACGCUGAGGCGCGAAAGCGUGGGGAGCAAACCGGAUUAGAUACCCGGGUAGUCCACGCCCUAAACGAUGCGCGCUAGGUCUCUGGGUUAUCUGGGGCCGAAGCCAACGCGUAAGCGCCCCCUGGAACGCUCGAG